rnacentral:tRNA from 1 species
UAUAAGGUAUUGUUAAUGCAUAAAGAAUUUUGAAUUCUUUGGAGGUAAUUUAUUUUACUCUUUAUAA